AUCUAGCUAACGAGCCCCAAGUGGGACGAAACACGCGUCCUGGAU
rnacentral:hammerhead_ribozyme from 1 species